CAGUCGCCACGGUAAUACGGAGGGGGCUAGCGUUGUUCGGAAUUACUGGGCGUAAAGCGCACGUAGGCGGCUUGGUAAGUUAGAGGUGAAAGCCCGGAGCUCAACUCCGGAAUUGCCUUUAAGACUGCCGAGCUAGCAGGUGAGAGAGGUAAGUGGAAUUCCGAGUGUAGAGGUGAAAUUCGUAGAUAUUCGGAAGAACACCAGUGGCGAAGGCGGCUUACUGGCUCAUACUGGACGCUGAGGUGCGAAAGCGUGGGGAGCAAACAGGAUUAGAUACCCGUGUAGUCCUGUCUCUUAUACA
rnacentral:rRNA from 1 species